rnacentral:tRNA from 2 species
AGAAACUUAGGAUAAUAAUUUAAACCGAAGGCCUUCAAAGCCUUAAACAAGAGUUAGACCCUCUUAGUUUCUG